GAUCAACGCUGGCGGCGUGCUUAACACAUGCAAGUCGAACGAAGUUUUUCCUUCGGGAGAAACUUAGUGGCGGACGGGUGAGUAACGCGUGGGCAACCUGCCCUGUACAGGGGGACAACAGCUGUAAACGGCUGCUAAUACCGCAUAAGCCCUUAGCACUGCAUGGUGCAUAGGGAAAAGGAGCAAUCCGGUACAGGAUGGACCCGCGUCUGAUUAGCCAGUUGGCAGGGUAACGGCCUACCAAAGCGACGAUCAGUAGCCGAUCUGAGAGGAUGUACGGCCACAUUGGGACUGAGACACGGCCCAGACUCCUACGGGAGGCAGCAGUGGGGAAUAUUGCACAAUGGAGGAAACUCUGAUGCAGCGACGCCGCGUGAGUGAAGAAGUAUUUCGGUAUGUAAAGCUCUAUCAGCAGGGAAGAAAAUGACGGUACCUGACGAAGAAGCACCGGCUAAAUACGUG
rnacentral:rRNA from 1 species